GGCACGGUGGCGUAGUGGUUAGCGCGCCUGCCUCUCACCUCCGAGCCGCAGGUUCGAAUCACGCCUCCUGUGG